rnacentral:lncRNA from 1 species
CUUUCUCCUAGUAGAAUACACCUACCAAUAUUUUCCAUUGUUGGGUUAGUGUUACUUUCUACUAUUGCAUGUUCAGCUGCAAAUUCAGCUCACAACACUUUUCUUCAUUGCCUUGUAAACCAUUCAGAGCCCUCUCAUCCCAUAACCUCAGCGAUUUUCACGCCAAACAACGCUUCAUUCUCCUCAGUCUUGGAAGCUUACGUCAGAAACCUUCGUUUCAACACCUCCACAACCCGUAAGCCGUUCCUUAUAGUAACUGCAUUGCAUGUGUCCCAUAUACAGGCAUCCAUUAUCUGUGCUCAGAAGUAUAACUUGCAAAUGAAAAUUCGAAGUGGAGGCCAUGACUACGAUGGUUUGUCCUACGUGGCUGAGGUCCCAUUCUUUAUCCUUGACAUGUUCAAACUCCGAACCAUUGAAGUUGACAUACACACUGAGACCGCUUGGGUACAAGCUGGUGCAACGGUUGGUGAAGUUUUUUACAAAAUUGCUAAUAAGAGUAAAAUUCAUGCUUUCCCAGCAGGGAUUUGUCCCACUGUUGGGAUAGGAGGCCACCUAAGUGGCGGCAGUUAUGGCAAUUUGAUGAGAAAAUACGGUCUCUCAGUGGACAAUAUUGUUGAUGCACAAAUGGUUGAUGUUCAAGGUAGAUUGCUUGAUAGAAAAUCCAUGGGUGAAGAUCUCUUUUGGGCCAUCACAGGUGGUGGAGGAUCUAGCUUUGGUGUGGUCCUUGCCUACAAAAUAAAGCUAGUUCGAGUUCCUGAAACAGUCACUGUUUUCAACGUUCAGAGGACCUUGGAGCAAAACGCCACCGAUAUAGUUUAUAAAUGGCAGCAUGUUGCACCAACUAUCGACAACGACCUUUUCAUUAGACUUGUCUUGGACGUUGUAAACGGUACAAAAACUGGAACAAAGACUGUAAGAGCUUCUUUCGUAGCUCUAUUCCUUGGCGACUCCAAAAGCCUUGUUUCUCUCUUGAAUGAGAAGUUCCCUCAAUUAGGUUUGAAGCAAUCUGACUGCAUCGAAACAAGUUGGCUUCGUUCAGUGCUGUUUUGGACAAACAUCAACAUUACAGCACCUCUUGAGAUUUUGCUUGAUAGACAACCACAAUCACCCGUGAACUUCUUGAAAAGAAAAUCUGAUUAUGUACAAAAACCAAUUUCCAAAGACGGUUUUGAAGGAAUUUGGAAGAAGAUGAUUGAGUUGGAGGAUACACUGUUUCAAUUCAAUCCUUAUGGUGGAAGAAUGGCUGAGAUUCCAUCAACAGCAACUCCUUUCCCUCAUCGAGCAGGGAACCUAUGGAAGCUUCAAUACCAAGCCAAUUGGAGGCAAGCAGGGAAAGAAGUAACAAAUCACUACAUAAACUUGACAAGAAAACUUCACAAGUACAUGACUCCUUUUGUCUCCAAGAACCCAAGAGAGGCUUUCUACAAUUAUAAGGACCUUGACUUGGGAAUUAAUCACAAUGGCAAGAAAAGCUAUGCUGAAGGAAAAGUUUACGGAGUGGAGUAUUUCAAGGAUAACUUCGACAGGUUGGUUGAAAUAAAGACCAAGGUUGAUCCUCAUAAUUUCUUUAGAAACGAACAAAGCAUCCCUACUCUGCCAUAUGCAAAGAGUUAGGAUAAUAGCGACUCAAAUGUUAUUAAUUUCUGUAGUUUUGGUCAUUAGUUUAUUGCGUACUAUAUUGGAUCAUGGAAAUAAGUGAUGUUUAAUAAACUAUUUGUUUGGUUUGGUAUUAAAUUAUGAAAUAAAUCGUGUUUUAAUCAUGUAGCUCUUGUGUGUUAUUUAAAUAGUUACAUAAGAGAUGCAGUUUUGAUAGAAAUCUUUUUCUGAUCAGCUAAAAAUAUAUAAUAAAUUUUAGUCAUUAUUAAAAAAAUUAUAAUAAAUAAAUAUAUCACGUAGCAAGUCAUUUCUUUAUUAAUACACAAUGCAUGCAAAUAUAUAUAUAUAUAUAUAUAUAUAUAUAUAUAUUUUGUUUACGUAUAACCAAAAAUUGUACGUAAAAGUGAAACUGACAUCUAUGAUAGGCUUAUUUCUGAAAGUUCACUGCAGGAGGAGUUUGAAUCUUUAAUGAUCAGUAAAAAUAAAAACAUUAAGGAAACUGAAUAGUAAUUGUAUUCUAAAAUUUUGACGUGUUUGAUAUCACAAGAGAUAUUUGCAAUCAGAAUACGUUAUUUUUUAAACAACCUAGGUAGAAAAUAAUUUUUUAAAGUGAUACUAGUGGUUUGAUUUAUUAUGAAAAUAUCUUAUAAUUACAAAAAAAUUAUAUAAAGUUAGACAAGAUAUCAAAUAUAUAUUUUUAUAGUUAAACUAAUCUAAAAGUUCUCUUAACUAGUUCUCAAUAAUUAGUGUUCUCGUCAAUAAAUUUUGGUUUGAUUUUAUAGGUGGAUUUCGAGUUAAUCUUUCAACACUACUGUUUUGAGAUGCUUGAAGAUCAUAAUGAAAAGAGUUUACCUGUUAAUAAAAUUCUGACGAUCAUGUCAAUAAAAACAUUAAAAAAUAUGAGUGUAGUGUGUAUUGUAUGAAAUAAUGUUUACCUUUUGUUCGGAGUCUUAAAAUUCUUUUAACACUCGAAGAUCCUUAUUCAAAAGUUAGUAACUACAUAAUAAUUUGUUAAUAUACCCUUUUAUUUUAGGGAUGUUGAUAUACCAAGUAUCUAUCUACAUUUGUUGAUGACUUAUUAGUGUCAUUCCUUUUGAAAAGACAAAAAAAUACGUAAAUAUAAUUAUAUAUAUAUAUAAAUAUAAUUAUAUAUAUAUAUAUAUAUAUAUAUAUAUAUAUAUAUAUAUAUAUAUAUAUAUNNNNNNNNNNNNNNNNNNNNNNNNNNNNNNNNNNNNNNNNNNNNNNNNNNNNNNNNNNNNNNNNNNNNNNNNNNNNNNNNNNNNNNNNNNNNNNNNNNNNAUAUAUAUAUAUAUAUAUAUGAGUGUGUAUAUUAUAUGCGGCUAAAAACAUCUCGACACACGAAAGUGAUCAUAACAUACAAGUACAAAGAAGUAGAAGCUAGAUCAGCAAUUUUAGAAUAAAUUUCAAAACCUUGCCAUACACAUACCGAAAUUAAGCUACAUAUAAUUAAGAAUAUCACUAAUCCUCAAUCAAGCACACUAAGUUGCUCUUACUAUUAGAGUAAUAUAAGAUUAUCGAUGAAGGUUCAUCUAUGCACAAGCUCAAUUUAAUUAAAUUCUAUAAAUAAAUUAUCAUGUGAUUGGUGGUAAACAUUAAAUUUACUAGCAUUUAUUAAUAAAUACACUCAACUAAUUUGAAUGUUGAAGUAUCUUUUUACAAGUACAGUAUCAAAACAUAGGUAUUACCGACAUUCAAAAUUAGUCGAUAAUGUCAAAAUUUUGUCAUUAAAUAAAAACUAUUGACAAAAAUAAAUUUGUCGAUAACUAAUAAUAUUAUUAUUAAUAAUUUAAAAAAUAUUAUUUAUUAUUAAAAUUAUUAUUAUUAGAAUUUACGGUUAUUGUUUACUAUUAUUUUAUUAUAUGUUAUUAAUUAUAUAAUGUUAUUAAAUAUAAUAUUACCAAUUGAUGCGGAGGAAUUUGAACCAAGUUCACUGACUACAUGUGACUGUAAGCAUUAGACCAAAAUUACUUACUUACCAUAUUAUGUUUUUUUAUUCUUAUUAUCAUAUUAGUAUUAUAAUUAUUAUAACUAUUAUUAUCAUUGUUAUUAAUAUUACUAAUAUUAAUAAAAUUAAAAUAUUAUUAAUACAAAUAUUAUCAAUAUUAUUUUUAUUAAUAAUAUCAUUAUUAUUAAUAAUAUUCUUAUUAUUAAUAAUAUUUUUAUUAUUUAUAGUAUUUAAUUAUUAUUAAUAUUAUUAUUAUUAUUAAGAUUAUUAUUAAUAAUAUUAUUGUAAUAUUAUUUUUAAUAUUAAUAUUAUUAUAGUUAUUAUAUUUAUUAUUAGUUUUAUUAAUAUUAUAUCAUAAUUAUUAAUAUUAGUACUACUUUUAAUAAUAUUAUUCAUAUUAUCAGUAUAAUUAUUAAUAUAUGAUUAUUAAUAUUAACUUUAUUCUAAGUCUUAAUUUUAUUAAAAAUAUUAAUAUUAUUGUAAUUAUUAAUUUUAUAUUAAUAUAAAUAUAAAUAUAAAUAUUAUUGUAAUUACUAUUAUUACUAUUAUUAUUAUUAAUCUUAUUAAUAUAAAUAUAAUUAUUAUUAUUAUUGUAGAAUUUACUGACGAUUUAUAUCCGCAUCUAAUUAUCGACAAAUUUUAUUGGAUAUUGAUUCGUUUCAAAUUACUUUUUUAAUCUUAAGAUUUGUAAAUCAAAUUUACUGGUAAUUACCAAUGGACAUAAUUCCGUCAAUAAAUUUUUUUAAUAAUUAGUUUUGUCAGUAAUAAAAAACAUAAACCCGUAAAUUUGAUAAAUUUGUUGUUAAUAAUUAGAAUUUUUUUAUAGUAUAUCUUCUGUGACCAGAGACAAGUAAAUACUAUCUUUCAAACGACGAAAUUAGUAUAACAAUAAAUAAAUAAAAAACGUACUCAAACAUUCAAAAACAAUAUAUAUUAUUAAAUAUAUUAUUUUGUGGUUUACAUAUUAAAAAAAUUGUUUUCCAAACUAAUUUUUUCUAUAUUUUAAAACUAGUUUAUAUAUUUGAUUAAUUUACUGUAUUAGUGUUUAGUCAAAUGUCAUGAACUCCAUAGUCACUAAAUAUUAAGUUGCAUGAUGCCUCCAUCACAAACGUGUGACAUCUAACUACUGAUAAAUUAAUAAACUACCUGAUUAUGACUUUGCAUAAAAAUAGUAUGUAUAUAUGAAUUAAUGUAUUUCCAAUACUCUCUAAUGCGAUUGAAUAUUUAAAACAACCUCAAAGAUGACUUAUAUAUGGAACUUCAAAAUUAAAUUCUUCAAACUUUAUUUACGCUCUUCAAGGAAUAGAUAAUAUCCUAUAAUCCAAUGAAUAAGUUAUUUGACAACGAAAAUUGAAGCAUGUUCAAGAAUUCCACAAGCUUCUUGAUAAUAUAAUUUGAAUAAAAAAUUAAAUUUGAUAGUGACAAAAACAAGUGGAGUCAAGUUUUUUUAUUUAAAGUGUGGAUUAUGUAUGUGAGGAUUAUAUGUCAUGGUUAACAUAGUCUUAUCCUUUUUAUACGGGUUGCGAUAUUUUUUAAAUAUCUUAUUUAAUUUAUUUAUUUAUUUUGUUAAUAAAAAUAAUGAUAGUUAAUAUGGAUUGACAUCUUUUAAAUUUAUUUAUUUAUUGAUAAAAAUAAUGAUAAUGACAUGUUAUCUGGUCUUUAAUUAGGCUAUUACUUUUUCCACAAUCUUUUUUGAAACAUAUUUUCUAAAGUUUUUUAAAUUAUAUUUUCAUCAAAAUAAUAAGUCUUUGUCCCUUUUAAAUUUAUAUGUGUAAAUUAUAUUAAAAGCUAUACAAUUUAAUAAUUUUUUAAUAAUAUUUUAUGUAUUAUUUUUAUUGAUAAAUAGGGUAUAUCCUAAACCCUAAACAACUUCCUCUUAAUUAAAAAUCCUGCGCUGGAUCCACAACUCAGUGAUGCAUUACAUCAAAGUCAUUUUGUUCAAGCAUGAAUUAAGUUCAAAAAUUCUUUGAAUCAAAAGUCGCGGAACUGAGCACUAAUUUCUCUCUUCUGUAUAAAUGUGUGAAUGUGUUUUGAUGUGAAAUAUUCAUGUUUUGUGUGGUACUUAUUUUCUUUCUGUAACUUAAAUAUUAAUGUAUUUUAAAUAUAAAAAGAUUUCUUGUUGGCUAGUGUGGAAAAUGGGACUAAGACUUGAUUAUUUUGAUGAAAAUAUAAUUUGAAAAAUUUAGAAAAUAUGUUUCGAUGAAAAGAUUGUGGAAAAAAUAAUAGCCUAAUUAAGGAUUAGAUAAGGUGUAACUAUCAUAUUUAAUUUUUGUAUUCAAAUCUAGGCCAUCUUCUCAUUUGUCUUUCACAAUUUCUUCCUCGAAAUGGUUCCAUUAUAAAAUCCAAUGUAGAUGAUGCUCAAUAGAAACACUAAAAACUCCUCUUCUAUCAAAAGAUAACAAAAAAUGGAAGUCCUUCCUCCUAUAUUUUUCAUUGUUGUGUUACUUUCUACAAUUUCAUGCUCAGCUUCAGCUGCAAAUUCAGCUCACAACAAUUUUCUUCAUUGUCUUGUAAGCCAUUCAGAGCCCUAUCAUCCCAUAACCUCAGCGAUUUUCACGUCAAACAACGCUUUAUUCUCCUCAGUCUUGAAUGAUUAUGUCAGAAACCUUCGUUUCAACACCUCCACAACCCGUAAGCCGUUCCUUAUAGUAACUGCAUUGCAUGUGUCCCAUAUACAGGCAUCCAUUAUCUGUGCUCAGAAGUAUAACUUGCAAAUGAAAAUUCGAAGUGGAGGCCAUGACUACGAUGGUUUGUCCUACGUGGCUGAGGUCCCAUUCUUUAUCCUUGACAUGUUCAAACUCCGAACCAUUGAAGUUGACAUACACACUGAGACCGCUUGGGUACAAGCUGGUGCAACGGUUGGUGAAGUUUUUUACAAAAUUGCUAAUAAGAGUAAAAUUCAUGCUUUCCCAGCAGGGAUUUGUCCCACUGUUGGGAUAGGAGGCCACCUAAGUGGCGGCAGUUAUGGCAAUUUGAUGAGAAAAUACGGUCUCUCAGUGGACAAUAUUGUUGAUGCACAAAUGGUUGAUGUUCAAGGUAGAUUGCUUGAUGAAAAAUCCAUGGGUGAAGAUCUCUUUUGGGCCAUCACAGGUGGUGGAGGAUCUAGCUUUGGUGUGGUCCUUGCCUACAAAAUAAAGCUAGUUCGAGUUCCUGAAACAGUCACUGUUUUCAGAGUUGAGAGGACCUUGGAGCAAAACGCCACCGAUAUAGUUUAUAAAUGGCAGCAUGUUGCACCAGCUAUCGACAACGACCUUUUCAUUAGACUUAUCUUGGACGUUGNNNNNNNNNNNNNNNNNNNNNNNNNNNNNNNNNNNNNNNNNNNNNNNNNNNNNNNNNNNNNNNNNNNNNNNNNNNNNNNNNNNNNNNNNNNNNNNNNNNNCAUAUUUGACAUGCUUGCGUGACAUUAAUUGACGUUGUAGACGUGAUAUUUGGUGAGGAUGUGACACUGAUUCUAUAUUAUAAUAUAUGACCUGUAGCACACGCAAAACUGGUUACUUGUGUGUUUGUAAGUAGUUACUUAUGUGACGUUUAUGUCUACCCACUCUUCAUGAAAAAGAAUCAUUUUUUUAAUAAGAACCAUAUAUUACAUCGGUUAGAUGACUUAAUCGCUGUAAUAACCCUACUAGAACUAUCCAGCCACAAGUUCCUCCACAUAUACUGGCUCACGCAAAACUGAUUACCCGUGUGUUUGUAAGUGGUUACCUAUGUGACAUUUAUGGUCACCCACUCUUCAUGAAAAAAAAAAUCAAUUUUUUUAAUAAAAACCUUAUAUUACAUCGGUUAGAUGACUUAACCGAUGUAAAAAUCAUAUAUUACAUCAGUUAGAUAACUUAACUGAUGUAAUAACCUUACCAGAGCUGGUUACCCAUCCCCUGACUCACGCAAAAUUGGUUAUCCGUGUGUCUAUAAAUGGUUACCUAUGUGACUUAUGACCCACCCACUCUUUAUGAAAAAAAAAAUCAAUGUUUUUUAAUAUGGAUCAUAACCAAUAAUAUGAGUCAUUCUGAGUAAAAAAAAUACAUUACACGGAUUGUUUCUAAGAACCGCUGUAAUAUAUUAUUUUUUACUCUAUUUUAAAGUUCGCGCUGCUCAUUCGUGUGCAAUCUCACUCUGUCACGUCAUUGUCAUGUCCACAGCGUCAAAUGUAUGUCAUGUGCAGACUAUGUCAAUAUAUCAGGACUCUAUUUAGAUAGUUAUAUAAUUGAGAUGUAGUUUUUGCUAAAAAUCUUGUUGAAAUAUUAAGAAAAUAUUGAGUUUAUUUAUUCAUGCUUAAGUUUAGAAGUUGAGACAAUGAAAAAUAAAGAAAGAAAUAAAACUGAUGUUACGUUAGACAAUAAUUGAAAUAGUAAUGACAUUAGUAGAAUGGUGGAUUUGAGGGAGGAAUUAACAAUGAUGGAAUUGGAAUUGGAGAAUAAGGUGCACGGCAGAGUGAUUGCCAAGUUUGAUGAUAGAAAGGCGUGGUUGGAUAAAGUAUGGACAUAAUAAUUUUAUAAGGAAAGAUCAAAUCAACAUACAUCUCCAACUAUACCAAUUAGUAUUCAAAAUUUAAAAUUACUUGUCAAUAAAUCUUAAAAAAACACAAAUAAUUUUUUUUAAGUUUAAGGAAAAUGAUAUAUUGACAUCCUGAUCAAUAUAUUGAAAUUUUUCGUCAUUAUUUAUUGAGGAAAAGAUGUUUAUUAUAAAAAAUAUCUUUAAUUUAAUUUAAUAUAUAUAUAUAUAUGAAUUUUAAAAUCUUUAUCUCAUACAAAUAAUUAAAAAAUAACUAUAAUCUAUUGUUACAUAAAAAAAUAUUAGUAAACGGCAUGCUUAUGAUUUUGUAUAAAACAAUAUGUAUAUAUGAAUUAAUGUAUUUCCAGUACUCUCUAAUGCGAUUUAAUAUUUAACACAACCUCAGAGAUGACUUAAAUAUAUGAAAUUUCAAAAUUCAAUUCAUCAAACUUUAUUUCUGUUCUGCAAGGAAUAAAUAAUAACCUAUAAUCCAAUAAAUAAGUUAUUUGAUGACAACGAAAAUUUAAGCAUGUUCAGAAAUUCCACAAGCUACUUGAUUUGAAUACAAAAAUUAAAUAUGAUAGUGACAAAAACAAGUAGAGUCAAGUUUUUUUAUUUAAAGUGUGGAUCAUGUAUGUGAGAAUUAUAUAUCAUUGGGUAACAUAAUUUUAUUUUAUUUUAUAUGGAUUGUGACAUUCUUUAAAUUUUUUAUUUAAUUUAUUUAUUUUUCGAUAAAAAGAAUAUAGUAACACAUUAUCUGAACCUUAAUUAGGUUAUUAUUAUUUUUACAGUCUUUUAAUUGAAACAUAUUUUUCUAAAGUUUUUCAAAUUAUAUUUUCAUCAAAAUAAUAAAGUCUCGGUCCCUUUUUCCACAAUAGCCAACCAGAAAAUAUUUUUUAUUUAAAAUAAAUUAAUAUUUAAGUUACAGAAAGAAAAUGAGCAAUUAAAAAUAUAGGAGAUGCCAAUUCCACACAAAAAUUAAUAUUUCACAUCAAAACACAUUCACACAUUUAUACUGAAGACGUGCCUUUUAAAACUUAGAAUAUUAUAAAACAUCAAGAUUUUACUAAUCAUUAACAAAAAAUGGAAAAAAUGUCACUAGAAAAUAUUAUAAUAAAAGUAAUAUCCAGUUUAAUAUUUUUAAUAUUAUGAAAAUAGUAUCAUGAUUCAAAAAAGUGAAAAAAAAAUCAAUAUUCCUUCAUGGUUUCUAUACUUGGCCACAUAUAAAAUAAAAUAAAGACAUGAAUAAUGAUCAAAUCAAUACUAAGAUUCAAAAAAUAUAUUUUUUGUGAGUAAUUCAAAUAAUUUUUUUAUCAACCAAAAAAAAUAUAAUAAUGAAAUACCUGGAAUAGUUGAACUCAUAUACAAUUAAAGUUUUACAAUAACUAAAGUAUCAUCAGAAUGACAAAAAUAUUUAAAAAAUAAUGGACUUUACAUAGGAAUACAUGUUCAUCAUAAAGAAAAUGAUCUCUAAUUAUUUUAUAAAAAAUAUUUAUGAAUUUUAAAAUAUUUAUCUCUCUUUAAAAUAAUUAAAAAAUAACUAUGUCAGAUAUUUAUUUUAUUUAAAACGCCAGUGGCGGAGCUUAAAAUCUAGUUUGUAGGGUUCAAAAUAAAUAAAUAAUUAUAUGUAAUUAAAAUUAAAAUUAAAAUUAAUUUGAAUGUUUUAUUUUGAAUAUUUAAUCAUAUUUUUUUAGAUAUUAGUUUUACUCUUGAAUAUUUUUUUAUAUUCAAUUUUUUCUUUACUUUAUUCAUGCCGUUAAUUACUUUCAUUUCAAGACUUGUAUAUAUAUUUAUUCAUUAUUAAAUAUAAAUUUAGAAAAAUUAGUUAUAACUAUUGUUGUGAAACAGUUGUUUAGGAAAUAAACAGAAGUAAAGUCCGAUAAGUAAAACUCAAAGUCAAGUUCAUUAAAGAAUGUUAAAAGAAGCUUUAAUUUGAUCUCAAAUUAUAAUUAUUAUUAAUAAAUAGUAUAAUUAUUAAUAUUAAUAUUUUUCAUAUAUUUAAUAUUAUUUAUAUUAUUAUUACUAUUCAAAUUAAUAAAAUUAUUAAUUAUUAUAAUAAUGUUAUUAAAUAUUAUUAAUAUUUUAUUAAAUAUCUUUCUUCAUUAUUAAACAUAAAUUUACAAAAAAUUGUUAUUACUAAUUUUAUGAAAAGUUAUUUGGGAAAUAAACAGAAGUAAAGUUUUCUAGAAAAUUAUUAUUAAUACUUUAUUAAAUAUUAUUAAUACUUUAUCAAAUAUUAUUAAUACUUUAUCAAAUAUUAUUAAUAGUUUAUCAAAUAUUACUAAUAUUUUAUCAAAUAUUACUAAUAUUUUAUUAAAUAUUACUAAUAUUAUUAAAUUAGUAUUACUAAAUAUUAUAAUAUUGUUAAAUAUUGUAAAUAUUAUAAAUAAUGUUAUAUUAUUAAUUUAGAUAUUUAUAGAUAAUAGAUAGUUGAUAGAUAAUAAAGAUCAGUAAAUAAUAGAGAUUUAUAAGUAAUAGUUUAUAGAUAAUGUUAGGUAAAGUUGAAUUUACGUAUAAACAUAUAUAAACUGUGGGUAAAAAUUCAUACUUAAUUUUUAAUAGAUUUCAAUUAUAAGGAUUGUGUUAGAAAUAUAUUAGAUAAUGUCCUGUAAACAUUUUUUAUAGUAAAAUAUGUAAGUAGUAUCAAACAAAAACAUAAAUAUUUUUAAUUGGAUAUAGAAAUAGAAAUAAAUUUUGUGUAGAAGGGCAAGACCCCCUUAAUUAGUCAAUACUAAGAUCUGUUCCUAUGGAAUUUAUUUUGAUGAAAACAAAGCUUUAAAUAAUGGAUUGUAAAAUAUUUGUAUGAUUUUUUUAAUUUAUAAUAUUAGGAUUUGUUGAAUUGUUGCAGUUGAUACUUCUCGAGAUAUAAAAUUCAGAGAGGUGCUGAUUGGUGAUGCUCUGAUAGUGGGCGCUGCAGCAGAUUUUCUGCUCUGCAAUUUGUCUGUUGCUUGCUGAUGACCUGCUAUCUUCUGCUGCUCUGCCACUACUCUCCAUUUUUGACAAUGAAUUAAUGUAAAAGUUAAAAUCAUAAAAAUAUAAUUGGAUGUCAAAAUUGUGACUUUUAUUACUCAAAAUAUGCAGUCAUUUUCAGGAUGCUUAUAAAUCCAAUACAAAUCAUCAUGCUCAAUGGACUCACCACAAAUCCUUUUCUUUGUUUAUCAAACAACAUUCGGAAAACCAGAAAUGGGAGUCAUUUCUCCUCACAGAAUACAACCAUCGAUGUUACUCAUCCUUGUGUUGCUUUCUAUAUUUACAUUUUCAGCUUCAGCUGCAACUUCAGCAGACAACACUUUUCUUCAUUGCCUUGUAAACCAUUCAGAGUCCUCUCACCCCAUAGCUUCAGCAGUUUUUACUGCAAACAACGACUCAUUCUCUUCAGUGUUGCAAGCCCAAAUAAAAAACCUUCGUCAACACCUCCACAACCCCGAAGCCAUUCCUUAUAGUAACUGCAUUGCAUGUAUCCCAUGUACAAGCAUCCAU